rnacentral:rRNA from 1 species
CCUACGGGUGGCUGCAGUGGGGAAUAUUGGGCAAUGGGCGCAAGCCUGACCCAGCAACGCCGCGUGAAGGAAGAAGGCUUUCGGGUUGUAAACUUCUUUUAUCAGGGACGAAGCAAGUGACGGUACCUGAUGAAUAAGCCACGGCUAACUACGUGCCAGCAGCCGCGGUAAUACGUAGGUGGCAAGCGUUAUCCGGAUUUACUGGGUGUAAAGGGCGUGUAGGCGGGAAAGCAAGUCAGAUGUGAAAACCAUGGGCUCAACCUGUGGCCUGCAUUUGAAACUGUUUUUCUGGAGUACUGGUGACGCAGACGGAAUGCCUAGUGUAGCGGUGAAAUGCGUAGAUAUUAGGAGGAACACCAGUGGCGAAGGCGGUCUGCUGAACAGCAACUGACGCUGAGGCGCGAAAGCGUGGGGAGCAAACAGGAUUAGAUACCCUAGUAGUC